CGCGUCAUAGUGCAACGGGUUAGAGCACGCGCUCUCGGAUAGAGUGAAAUGUGGGUUCGAGUCCCGUUUGACGUGG